rnacentral:rRNA from 1 species
GUAGUCCACUGCUGUAAACGAUGGAUGCUAGCUGUCGGUAGGUUUUCCUAUCGGUGGCGCAGCUAACGCAUUAAGCAUCCCGCCUGGGGAGUACGAUCGCAAGAUUAAAACUCAAAGGAAUUGACGGGGGCCCGCACAAGCGGUGGAGCAUGUGGUUUAAUUCGACGCAACGCGAAAACCUUACCUGGUCUUGACAUCCUGUGAACUUUCUAGAGAUAGAUUGGUGCCUUCGGGAACACAGUGACAGGUGCUGCAUGGCUGUCGUCCAGCUCGUGUCGUGAGAUGUUGGGUUAAGUCCCCGGCAACGG